rnacentral:tRNA from 1 species
GGAGAGGUGGCCGAGAGGCUGAAGGCGCGCGAUUGCUAAUCGCGUAGGGGGCCCAAAAGCUCCCUCCCGGGUUCGAAUCCCGGCCUCUCCGCCA